rnacentral:rRNA from 1 species
AGUCGUAACAAGGUCUCCGUAGGUGAACCUGCGGAGGGAUCAUUACACAAAUAUGAAGGCGGGCUGGAACCUCUCGGAGUUACAGCCUUGCUGAAUUAUUCACCCUUGUCUUUUGCGUACUUCUUGUUUCCUUGGUGGGUUCGCCCACCACUAGGACAAACAUAAACCUUUCGUAAUUGCAAUCAGCGUCAGUAACAAAUUAAUAAUUACAACUUUCAACAACGGAUCUCUUGGUUCUGGCAUCGAUGAAGAACGCAGCGAAAUGCGAUAAGUAGUGUGAAUUGCAGAAUUCAGUGAAUCAUCGAAUCUUUGAACGCACAUUGCGCCCUUUGGUAUUCCAAAGGGCAUGCCUGUUCGAGCGUCAUUUGUACCCUCAAGCUUUGCUUGGUGUUGGGCGUCUUGUCUCUAGCUUUGCUGGAGACUCGCCUUAAAGUAAUUGGCAGCCGGCCUACUGGUUUCGGAGCGCAGCACAAGUCGCACUCUCUAUCAGCAAAGGUCUAGCAUCCAUUAAGCCUUUUUUUUCAACUUUUGACCUCGGAUCAGGUAGGGAUACCCGCUGAAAUUGAGCAUAUCAAUAAGCGGAGGAAUAAAAGUCG